GCCUAGCUGCUCAGUCAGCAGAGCGUGGGACUCAUGAUCUCAGGGUUGUGAGUUCAAGCCCCAUGUUAGGUG
rnacentral:tRNA from 1 species